rnacentral:piRNA from 2 species
UGGGCUAAAGGAAAGGUUCAAAGUGGGGUA